UACGUAGGGUGCAAGCGUUAAUCGGAAUUACUGGGCGUAAAGCGUGCGCAGGCGGUUAUGUAAGACAGAUGUGAAAUCCCCGGGCUCAACCUGGGAACUGCAUUUGUGACUGCAUAGCUAGAGUACGGUAGAGGGGGAUGGAAUUCCGCGUGUAGCAGUGAAAUGCGUAGAGAUGCGGAGGAACACCCGGAUGGCGAAGGCAGCCCCCUGGGCUAACACUGACGCUCAGGCACGAAAGCGUGGGGAGCAAACAGG
rnacentral:rRNA from 1 species